CCUACGGGUGGCUGCAGUGAGGAAUAUUGGUCAAUGGACGAGAGUCUGAACCAGCCAAGUAGCGUGAAGGAUGACUGCCCUAUGGGUUGUAAACUUCUUUUAUAUGGGAAUAAAAUGUUCCACGUGUGGGAUUUUGUAUGUACCAUAUGAAUAAGGAUCGGCUAACUCCGUGCCAGCAGCCGCGGUAAUACGGAGGAUCCGAGCGUUAUCCGGAUUUAUUGGGUUUAAAGGGAGCGUAGGUGGAUUGUUAAGUCAGUUGUGAAAGUUUGCGGCUCAACCGUAAAAUUGCAGUUGAAACUGGCAGGAUAGAGUAAAGUAGAGGUGGGGGGAAUUCGUGGUGUAGCGGUGAAAUGCGUAGAGAGCACGAAGAACGGCGAUUGAGAAGGCAGUUCACUGGACUG
rnacentral:rRNA from 1 species